rnacentral:tRNA from 1 species
UCUCUGUUAGUAUAUCGGUUAGUACACGCGCCUGUCAUGUUAUGUGCCGGUCGCGCGAAAGCGGGGUUCGACUCCCCGACAGAGAG